rnacentral:tRNA from 1 species
UAGAGUGUGGUGUAGUGGGUAGCACGGAGAAUUUUGAGUUCUCAGGGUUAGGUUCAAAGCCUAAGGCUCUAG